rnacentral:rRNA from 2 species
AAUGCAGUCGAACGAGUUCUCGUUGAUGAUCGGUGCUUGCACCGAGAUUCAACAUGGAACGAGUGGCGGACGGGUGAGUAACACGUGGGUAACCUGCCCUUAAGUGGGGGAUAACAUUUGGAAACAGAUGCUAAUACCGCAUAGAUCCAAGAACCGCAUGGUUCUUGGCUGAAAGAUGGCGUAAGCUAUCGCUUUUGGAUGGACCCGCGGCGUAUUAGCUAGUUGGUGAGGUAAUGGCUCACCAAGGCGAUGAUACGUAGCCGAACUGAGAGGUUGAUCGGCCACAUUGGGACUGAGACACGGCCCAAACUCCUACGGGAGGCAGCAGUAGGGAAUCUUCCACAAUGGACGCAAGUCUGAUGGAGCAACGCCGCGUGAGUGAAGAAGGCUUUCGGGUCGUAAAACUCUGUUGUUGGAGAAGAAUGGUCGGCAGAGUAACUGUUGUCGGCGUGACGGUAUCCAACCAGAAAGCCACGGCUAACUACGUGCCAGCAGCCGCGGUAAUACGUAGGUGGCAAGCGUUAUCCGGAUUUAUUGGGCGUAAAGCGAGCGCAGGCGGUUUUUUAAGUCUGAUGUGAAAGCCCUCGGCUUAACCGAGGAAGCGCAUCGGAAACUGGGAAACUUGAGUGCAGAAGAGGACAGUGGAACUCCAUGUGUAGCGGUGAAAUGCGUAGAUAUAUGGAAGAACACCAGUGGCGAAGGCGGCUGUCUGGUCUGUAACUGACGCUGAGGCUCGAAAGCAUGGGUAGCGAACAGGAUUAGAUACCCUGGUAGUCCAUGCCGUAAACGAUGAAUGCUAGGUGUUGGAGGGUUUCCGCCCUUCAGUGCCGCAGCUAACGCAUUAAGCAUUCCGCCUGGGGAGUACGACCGCAAGGUUGAAACUCAAAGGAAUUGACGGGGGCCCGCACAAGC